GCUCAGAUUGAACGCUGGCGGCAUGCUUUACACAUGCAAGUCGAACGGCAGCACGAAAGAGCUUGCUCUUUUGGUGGCGAGUGGCGAACGGGUGAGUAAUACAUUGGAACGUACCGAGUAAUGGGGGAUAACUGUCCGAAAGGAUGGCUAAUACCGCAUACGCUCUGAGGAGGAAAGCGGGGGACCUUCGGGCCUCGCGUUAUUCGAGCGGCCAAUGUCUGAUUAGCUAGUUGGUGGGGUAAAAGCCUACCAAGGCGACGAUCAGUAGUGGGUCUGAGAGGAUGAUCCGCCACACUGGGACUGAGACACGGCCCAGACUCCUACGGGAGGCAGCAGUGGGGAAUUUUGGACAAUGGGCGAAAGCCUGAUCCAGCCAUGCCGCGUGUCUGAAGAAGGCCUUCGGGUUGUAAAGGACUUUUGUCAGGGAAGAAAGGGUUUGGGUUAAUACCCUAAGCUUAUGAC
rnacentral:rRNA from 1 species